rnacentral:tRNA from 1 species
GCUGGCGUGGUGUAGCGGUUUGAGUGUUGGACUACGACUCUGGAGACCUGGGUUUGAUUCCCAGCUCAGCC